CUACAGCAAGAACAUCAACGGCAAACGUCUUCAGUUUUCAACAUUAUUACAGGUAAUUCAAGAUGGAACAAAGUCUGCUUCAACUGCUAUUUUUACUUGGAGUUCUGUCUAGUUCUCUGGGCUUUAGAGGUCAGUAUAUUCUGAUCCAGCAGCAGAAAUCAUGGGCCGAAGCUCAAGCGUUCUGUCGAGAGAAUCACCUGGACUUGGCCACAUUAAACAAUGACGACGACAGGGAGAACUUCAGAGAAGACCUGGCUGCUAGUAACUUUAAGUCAAACGUCUGGGUUGGAUUGUACUCUCUAGACUCUGACAUUAAUACCUGGCGAUGGUCAUUUCAAG